rnacentral:rRNA from 1 species
CCUACGGAGGGCAGCAGUGAGGAAUAUUGGUCAAUGGGCGCGAGCCUGAACCAGCCAAGUCGCGUGAGGGAUGAAGGUUCUAUGGAUCGUAAACCUCUUUUAUAAGGGAAUAAAGUGUGGGACGUGUCCUAUUUUGUAUGUACCUUAUGAAUAAGGAUCGGCUAACUCCGUGCCAGCAGCCGCGGUAAUACGGAGGAUCCGAGCGUUAUCGGGAUUUAUUGGGUUUAAAGGGUGCGUAGGCGGCAUUUUAAGUGAGCGGUGAAAGUCUGUGGCUCAACCAUGGAAUUGCCGUUGAAACUGGGGGGCUUGAGGAUGUUUGAGGCAUGCGGAAUGCGUGGUGUAGCGGUGAAAUGCUUAGAUAUCACGCAGAACCCCGAUUGCGAAGGCAGCCUGCC